UACCUUGAGGAUAUGGUGCAUCAUAUCUCAUCCGGGAUGUCCCAUUCAAUCAUGCCAAAGCAUAAGAGUGCUCUUGAACCUAGGCAUAGGGCCAGCCAUGUGGUGGGUCUCCACGAAUCGGAUGGUUGUUAUGUACAACCUACUCGGGAAACGUUCUAACUUCUUGUGAAUACACUUCUAGCCAUAUUCGUAAAAAGUGAUACAAAGAAAUUCAGAACCAUUCUCUUCAGUGGUUUAACAUGAUAUUGAUUAUCUCGAAUAUCUCUAAGCUCAACAACGUUCUUCCAGAACGUGGAGAAUAGAAGACCUCUUUAAUGGUUAAGUCAGUACCAUUAGACAACAUUAUACGGGCAUUUCCAUAUCAGGUUGGAUGGGCCUAAAAGGGUUCUCAGAGGUGCAUUUUUAUGUACGAAGUUAGUAAAAUAAUGUUGUUCAGAUAAGAUGGUGUGCGUGGUAGCACUAUCAGCCAGAUAACUAACUUCCUCACUAGUCAUACAUAAAAAUAAAUUAAUUGAAUCAGUCACAUGCAUAAACAUAAUUCCAUUCAUUCAAUUAAUCAAUCGAGAAAUAAUAUCCAUAAAAAUAAUUAUCCAUAAUUCAAAACAAACCAAACCAAACAAAUAAUUCCUUUUUUUUGUUGGGAGGG
rnacentral:lncRNA from 1 species